GGACGGCCGAGCGGCGGCGGGGCGGCUCGGGUUGGGCCGAGCUCUCCAGCCCUCAGAAACAUGAUAGUCACCCAGCUGACGUGUUACACGCGCAAAUUCCUAGCUCGUCUCCAGAGAUUCUCGGGGUGUCUGGGGCAGGGCCGCAGGCAUCUGCGUGACUCCGAAGUACCCUAGUGGUCGUUUCUGGCAAGAGUGUUUCCUGCACUAGACAGAGAUAAAACAGUGAACGACAGAUCUGAUCGUGCCCCCAUGGAGUUUACGUUCUAACAAAGGAAAACAGACCACGGCGUAACUAAUGGUUGUGGUAAGUGCUAUAAGGGAAAUAAACUGUGUGGAGUGAUAUAACUGGGCCGGCGUGGACUUCCUCUCACCCUGUGGAUAGGGUCAUCAAGGAAGGCCUCUUCCCCACAAGCUCAGGAGCAGGAGCUCAGGGUGCCAUAUCAGUUACUAACCCUAUUCUCACUUGCUCCACAACCAAAUUCAAGCACCCUCUUCCAUCGCUGGAGGGAGCACCACUUGGUAACACCCCUGUGUGUGGGGGAGGGGGGUGCCUUUGCAACACCUCUCAACAUUGCAAACUGGCCCAGCAAUUUGCACAGAUCCUGCUGAAUGGCCUAAUGAUAAGAAUGGGUUAAUCUUCCUGGGAGAGAUGAUUUCCUCCCCUAGGAAGUGAGGCUCCGACUGCCUUCUGUUGUCUCCUUCUCAUCCCAACCCCAUCCUGCAUUCAUGGGAGAAUACCACACACCAGCCAUAUCCCCCACGGAGCAAAAACUGCAGGAGGCCUGAGGAAUAUGUGGGGCUUUGCUCCACUCGAAUGGAAAUCCAAAGCGUCCUUUGUUCAAGGGGGGAGAAAAGCCAGUGCCUGGCUGCCUAGAUACCAGAACCACCCUAGAACUGUCUGGUCCAAGUGUUACGGUAUAAAAAAGCCGAGGGGUAGUAGUUCUUUAUGGGGCCAGCCUUUGUCAUGAUCUUAACAGGCAGGGCUCCUUCUGCCGAGGCACAGACUUGCAAAGCUUUCUGAGGGCUUGGCAGUGGCUUCUGAGCCCACACUACUUCACCUUCACUAAGGAAGUGGCCAAGAAGCAUCUCCAGUUGCUGAAAGGAGUCUGCCUAGGCCAGACAGGCUGCUCUGGUGCUUGACCUCACGUUCCCUGUUCCAUGUGCUCUCCUCUAUCCGGGAUACCCCAGCCUUGCUGCAGGAACCUUGUCCACUGCUUAAUUACUAAUAUUCGCUUAAACUACAGUUCUCAAUCCCUCUUCCAUCUCCCUACCUUUUCACAUACUUUCUUUCUUGAAGUAUGGCUGAAUUAUAAUGUGUUAAUUUCUGCUGUGCGGCACAGUGAUUCAGUUAUGUACAUGUAUACAUUCUUUUCCAUUGUGGUUUAUCACAGGAUAUUGAAUGUAGUUCUUGGUGCUCUAUAGCAGGACCUUGUUCUCUAUUCUACAUAUACCAGUUUGCAUCUGCGAAUCCCAGACUCCCAGUCCAAUCCUCUCCCAGCUCCCUCCUCCUUGGCAACCACCAGUAUGUUCUCUGUGUUCUUGAUACUGUUUCACAGACAGGUUCAUUUGUGUUAUCUUUUAGAUCCCACACGUAAGUGAUAUCAUAUGGUAUUUGUCUCUCUCUUUCUGAUUUUCUUCACUUAACAUGAAAAUCUUUAGCUGCAUCCCUUCAUAUAAUUUCCUUUUUUUCUGAUAAAUAGGAGGUUUUAAUGUAUAAAAAGUGAAUUAAGCAGCUCCUGGAACACAUAUAAUUUCUUGAUUCUGUUUUUCUCUGUGUUCAUAAUUAUCUUUCUCCAGGUGUCAACUGCCAUUCUCUGCUUCUCCCUGCAUAUUCCCUUGGUUCAAAACACUGCCCUAAUCCAAGACUGAAAUUGAGAAAACAAUUCCAUUUACAAGAGUAUCAAAAAGAAAAAAAUACUUAAGAAUAAAUUUAACCAAGGACAUCUA